AGCGUAGACGGAUGGACAAGUCUGAUGUGAAAGGCUGGGGCUCAACCCCGGGACUGCAUUGGAAACUGCCCGUCUUGAGUGCCGGAGAGGUAAGCGGAAUUCCUAGUGUAGCGGUGAAAUGCGUAGAUAUUAGGAGGAACACCAGUGGCGAAGGCAGGUCUCUGGGCCGUUACUGACGCUGAGGAGCGAAAGCGUGGGGAGCGAACA
rnacentral:rRNA from 1 species